GGUAAGCGUAUACCAAAGUUGUUGCAGUUAAAACGCUCGUAGUCGGAAUUUGGCAGUUCCGGAUGUGUGCACGUCGUGUGCGCACUUCGCGGGGAUUGCUUUUGUGGUCUUGCGUAGGAUGAGGCACUUUUAUUAGUGAACGUCCUCACGCAACCACUUUUUACUGUGAGAAAAUCAGAGUGCUCAAAGCAGGCAUUUGCCGUGAAUGUAUUAGCAUGGAAUAAUAGAAUAGGACUUGGUUCUAUUUUGUUGGUUUGUUGGGACUGAGUAAUGAUUAAGAGGGACAGUUGGGGGCAUUUGUAUUUCGGUGCUAGAGGUGAAAUUCUUAGAUUACCGAAAGACAAACUGCUGCGAAAGCGUCUGCCAAGGAUGUUUUCAUUGA
rnacentral:rRNA from 1 species